rnacentral:lncRNA from 1 species
CUACUCACUGGUUCUUCAGAAGAUUAAACAAUAUUGAUAGAAUGCUAGCUAGAUUAAUAAAGGAAAAGAAAGAGAGAAGAUACAAACACAGCCAAAAUAGAACUACAAUGUGUUAAAAAUGAAGUUUUAAUCUAAAAACCCUACUUACUGGUUCUUCAAAAGAUUAAACAAUAUUGAUAGACUGCUAUCAAGGUGAAGUCCCACAAUAGGCCAUCUGCAAGCUGAGGAGUAAGGAAGCCAGUCCAAGUCCCAAAACCUCAAAAAUAUAAAAGCCAACAGUGCAGUCCUCAGUCCGUGGCCAAAGGCCUGAGAGCCCUUGGCAAAUCAUUGAUAUAAGUCCAAGAGUCCAAAAACUGAAGAACUUGGAGUUUGAUGAUGGAAGGCAGGAAGCAUCCCGCAUGGGAGAAAGAUGAAGGCUGGAGGACUCAGCAAGUCUGCUCAUUCCACUUUCUUCAGCCUGCUUUGUUCUAGCCAAGCUGGCAGCUGAUUAGAUGGUGCCCACCCAGAUUAGGGGUGGGUCUGCCACUCCCAGUCCACUGACUCAAACGUUAAUCUCCUUUGGCAACACCCUCACAGACACACCCGAGAACAAUACUCUGCAUCCUUCAAUUCAAUAAAGUUAACACUCAAUGUUAACCAUUACACCACAGAAGCUCUUUGGCUUUACGAGUUAAUACAAUAAGCCCGAGAAUGUUGAAAACUGUUAUACUACAUAGUAAAGAACAGCUUAUGAGGAUUUAAUUAGAGAGGAAGGGAACAAAGUUAGGUGAGAAACAGUGAGGGUUUAAACUAGUGACAUUGGUAAAGAAGGAAGAUGGACAGAUUCAGUGACAUUUAAAUAUACCUGAGACAGAAAAUUUUCGUUGAUUCAUUUUGAAAUAUGAAAGAUUUAAGGAUGACCCAGGGUUACUUAGCAUGAAGAAAUUGAUGGACAAUGAUCCAAUUUACUGAAGGGUGAGAAAAAGUAGGUUUCUUUUUUGUGGAAGUGGGGAAAUGUGGGCUUGUGUUGUGAGGAAUUAUGAGUUUAGAUUCAAAUAUACUAAUUUUUUUUUGUUGGUUCCUAUUUUUCAAUGCCUUUUCAUGAACUAUCAUUCACAUGUAUUUCUCAAAAUUUAAAACUACUUUUAAUAGGAGUCUUUGUACUAAUCCCUUAUUCUUAAACCCAAUUUAUCUCUUGUUCCUCAAAACUUGCACCCUCUUAGACAUUCAACUUACCUAAUUAUCCUCCUCUUCCCAUAUGUUAAUUGUUGGCUGUUUUCACGGCUUUGAGUUAACUUUGUGCUUGACAUCAAAGCACACAACGUAGCUGCCUAUUCAAGAGAAGAUUUGCUGGCCGGCUGUGAAGAAAUGAGGUCGGCAGACAGCCUUCAGCUCUCAGCUCCCUUAGUGUAUGCCUCAGCUGCAGAGAGCUACCUGCCUAGAGGACAUGCUCUUCUCAGGAGCAGCCUACUUCUGAUGACUGAGGAAGACAAGGGUAUAAAUGUCCAGUGCUUUCAGUUCAAUAUAAGACAAUGCAGGUGAGCAACUCCUGACAGAUUGACUGUGGUUUGCUUGGACUGCAUUAUGUUUUAACUUGUCCCUCUGCUCUAACCUAUUUCCUCCGCCUUCUUUUGCAGAUAUUUAUUCCAAAUCAAUCCUGCACCAGAAGCUCCAUUUCUGCAUUCGCUUCCAGAAAACACAGCAGCCGUAUGUGAAUUUGGGAGUGGUCCCACGAACCGGUUAUGAGACGAGGUUUUGGAGCUGGAUCACACCUGACACAACUGGCAUUGAAAACCUUAUUACCAAGAGCCUCUGGCACAAGGUAGAAGUCCAGUUGUAAAAACAUUCAUUGCUGAUGAAUUGGGACAGUAGAAGUUGAUGGAAAAACAGAAUUAAGAAGUGUGGUAUAUCUGGCACUUCAAACUUUUUGGGAAAAAAAGAUAACUGCAAAUGCAAAGACAAUGGAAUUGGAUGCUUUUUGCUAAACUGCGCUAAUACUCAACAAAAAAUAAUGAAAAACUGAGGAAAAUUUAAAAGUAAUUAAAAACCAACAGUGAAUGCCAGAGGGUUUCUUUGUAAGGCAAAUAAAGACCUUACUGCCUUCUUCAGAAAGGCAAAAAAUCUGAGGCCCAUGGUGAAGACACAAUAAUGGCUAAGUGGUUGAACUUUACCAAAGGGCACUGGUAGGGAACACUAGUAACUGUGACACAUGAGAUGAAGUUAUAUGGGUAAAUGUUUCCAAAGAUUUUGAUUCCUCAGGCACUGAAACUACAACUUCUGAGCCUGCAGAAAUAAUCUACCUUUCCCUUCAAGAACUAGAAUUAUCCAUUUGUUGAGGAAACAAAAUGCAAAGGGUUUUUCACAAAAGUUGAGUGGCCUCCUUGGGCCACCUUCCCCCCUGUCCAUUACGCCUAUAAUAAGGGUUAAUUCACAGUAUGACAUAAAUAGGAUGCAAAAAGUCUGAUGAGAGAGGAAAAGGCUCUAUUUCAAAGGAGCUAGAAAACCUAGGUAGGGGGAAUAUGUGUAUGAGUAGAUUCUAAGCGUGCUUGUUCAGUGACACCAGCAUAUAAAAUUGAAAAGGGGGGAGUUGAUUGAUUUCAAACACUCUCCCAAGAUUACAGAAUUUAAUUCCCUAGGAAGGAUCCAAGGAAAUGGUAUGAAUUCACUGCUAGGAUGGCUCCUAAAAGAAUGAAAAAUGUAACAACUAGUUUUGAUUAAAGUUGAAAUACCAAAGUUGUAAUAUGAAAUGGUGAAGGGAGGAAAUAAAAGGCUCAAGGAAUUGGACGUGCUGGAAUGAAUACACUAUCUACAGCUGAAAGAUGCGGUAAAAUAUUAUGUUCCAUCAGAAUGCUCAGAGGACAAAUUAUUCCUAAAAGCGUACGGUUUUCAUGGAGAGAUGCACCCAUAACACUAAAAAGAUCAGAGAUGUUCUCCUUUGUAGGAAAGGGCUGAUUCCAUUGGAAAGUUACCACAGAACUUGACUUGAAGAUAGCAGAAGAUAUGAUAAAACCCCAAAACAGUAGGGGUCAGCUGACAGUGCUUAACCAACAGAAGGCAAAAGUAUGCAAUAAUCAUAAUGAGAGUGAAGGUUAAGUGGUUGAUAAGGAGGCCUUGCCACAUGGGCAUGCUUCAUGGAGCACAGUCACAUUAGGAAGAAAAUAAAUGGAUCUCCAAAAAGAAUUUUAAAUUUAUGUCAAAAUCUGUAAGCAUCUUGAGUCCCAGUAUAAAGACAGGGGCUUAAUUCUAUAAUGUAAUUAUCCAAAAUAUUUGUUGGUUGUCUGAUUGAGAGUUGCAUGGCAAAUUUCAUAUGUUUGGGAUAUUAGGUAGAGAAGAGUUGUCAAUAUUUGGAAAUUACCUUGUUCAGGAAGCAUACAGUAAUGAAGAUACAAGGAAAAAUGAGCUUAAAUCAGGACUGGCAAAGGAAAUGCAAAGAAGUAAAAAUACACAAAAAUUUUACCAAAAAAUUCUUGGUUAUUUUACAUUUUGAAAGUAGAAAUGAAUGAAAAAUAAUGAAGAGUAAUGAAAAAUCAAAUAUAAAGCUAGUUAUUUCAAAUUACACUAAACACAAUAAAACGCUUUGAGUGGAAAUUAGGUUUUUCAAAAAAUAUUUAUUGUAUGACUUUUCUGCACCUGUCACUGUACUAAAAUGUCAACACUGAAAUUGCACUCUCUACUGAUGAUGACAGAAGUAAAAUAAGAAAGAAAUGUUAAGGGAAAGUAGCAGGAAAAGAAUGUUUGCACCUGUCUUUGAGCAGUUAGAAAAUUACUCUUUUUAGGAAAAAAAAAUAACAUUUUUAAAUAAUGCAGGUACGAUGAAUGUCACUGAAUAAUACUAUAGCAUUGCAAAUUAGACAUAUUAAGAACUUGAAAGAUAACAAAAAGCAAACGUAAAUUCCUGCCCAUAUCUUACUUAGUUCAUACACUAUGUAUGUUUAAAUAUUGUCCUGAUUUUAGGUAAUGCUACCUACUUCACUGAUUUAUUAAAUAAUGCCCUGAAUUAUCUUUCAUAUGUUUUAUAUGAAUUUAUUUCUUUAUUCCACAUGAGAUAUGUUUUUCAUAAAGGGUUGGCCUGUAUUUUAUGAUUUAUAUUCAACUUAUCUUCUAUAGAUCUAGGUCUACUUGAAGCAUACAUUUUACACAUAUCUUAAUAAAUGAUCUGGUUACAAACUAUAAUAAGAGGAUUCCUGUUGUAAAAGUCAAUGUAUGAAAAUAAAUUGUAUUAAAUACUUAAAAUGUAACCAAUGUGAUGUCACAUUGUGGCUUUUUAAAGUUAGAUAUAUAGUUUUCAUAUUUAUGGAUAUAUAUAUAUGGUGAUUUACAAUAUUACAUAUAGUAGUUAUACAGUGAGUGGCACUAUAUUAUAGAAAGCUUAGUGAAAUAUCAAUUGUGUUACAGAACAAAGAAGCAAUUCUGAGUGCCCUCUAUGUCUAAUAAAAUAAAUUUUAACUACAUGAAUAGUAGGGAU